rnacentral:rRNA from 1 species
AUUGAACGCUGGCGGAAUGCUUUACACAUGCAAGUCGAACGGCAGCACGGACUUCGGUCUGGUGGCGAGUGGCGAACGGGUGAGUAAUGUAUCGGAACGUGCCCAGUCGUGGGGGAUAACGUAGUGAAAAUUACGCUAAUACCGCAUACGAUCUAUGGAUGAAAGCGGGGGAUCGCAAGACCUCGCGCGAUUGGAGCGGCCGAUAUCAGAUUAGGUAGUUGGUGGGGUAAAGGCCCACCAAGCCAACGAUCUGUAGCUGGUGUGAGAGGACGACCAGCCACACUGGAACUGAGACACGGUCCAGACUCCUACGGGAGGCAGCAGUGGGGAGUUUUGGACAGUGGGCGAAAGGCUGAUCCAGCCAUUCCGCGUGGAGGAUGAAGGCCCUCGGUUUGUAAACUGCUUUUGUACAGAACGAAAAGGUUUCUACUAAUACUAGGAGCUCAUGACGGUACUGUAAGAAUAAGAACCGGCUAACUACGUGCCAGCCGCCGCAGUAA